UUUAAUUGAAGAGUUUGAUCAUGGCUCAGAUUGAACGCUGGCGGCAGGCCUAACACAUGCAAGUCGAGCGGCAGCACAGAGAAACUUGUUUCUCGGGUGGCGAGCGGCGGACGGGUGAGUAAUGCCUGGGAAAUUGCCCUGAUGUGGGGGAUA
rnacentral:rRNA from 1 species